rnacentral:rRNA from 1 species
ACGGCUCAGUAACACGUGGCUAACCUGCCCUUGGGACGAGAACAACCCCGGGAAACUGGGGAUAAUCCUCGAUAGGUGAAGAACUCUGGAAUGAGUCUUUGCUUAAAAGGCGUUGGAUCAUGCUUUCAGCGUCGCCCAAGGAUGGGGCCGCGACCGAUCAGGUUGUUGGUGAGGUAAUGGCCCACCAAGCCUUUUACCGGUGCGGGCCGUGAGAGCGGGAGCCCGGAGAUGGGCACUGAGACAAGGGCCCAGGUCCUACGGGGCGCAGCAGUCGCGAAAACUUUGCAAUACACGAAAGUGUGACAGGGUCAUCCCGAGUGCCGACCGCUGAGGUUGGCUUUUACCCAGUCUAGAAAGCUGGGGGAAUAAGGAGAGGGCAAGUCUGGUGUCAGCCGCCGCGGUAAUACCAGCUCUCCGAGUGGUGUGGACGUUUAUUGGGCCUAAAGCAUUCGUAGCUGGCGGAACAAGUCCCCCGUUAAACCCACCGAUUUAAUCGUUGGUCUGCGGGGGAUACUGCUCGGCUAGGGGACGAGAGAGGCAGACGGUAUUCCCGGGGUAGGGGUGAAAUCCUAUAAUCCCGAGAAGACCACCAGUGGCGAAGGCUGUCUGCUAGAACGCGCCCGACGGUGAGGGAUGAAAGCUGGGGGAGCGAACCGGAUUAGAUACCCGGGUAGUCCCAGCUGUAAACGAUGCAGACUAGGUGUUUGGACGGCCACGUGCCGUUCUAGUGCCGCAGGGAAGCUGUUAAGUCUGCCGCCUGGGGAGUACGAUCGCAAGAUUGAAACUUAAAGGAAUUGGCGGGGGAGCAC